rnacentral:rRNA from 1 species
GCCUACGGGACGCAGCAGUAUGGAAUCUUCCACAAUGGGCUAAAGCCUGAUGGAGCAACGCCGCGUGGGUGAAGAAGGUCUUCGGAUCGUAAAACCCUGUUGUUAGAGAAGAAAGUGCGUGAGAGUAACUGUUCACGUUUCGACGGUAUCUAACCAGAAAGCCACGGCUAACUACGUGCCAGCAGCCGCGGUAAUACGUAGGUGGCAAGCGUUAUCCGGAUUUAUUGGGCGUAAAGGGAACGCAGGCGGUCUUUUAAGUCUGCUGUGAAAGCCUUCGGCUUAACCGGAGUAGG